UUCUGUCUCUGGCUUUGAGGAGUUUCUCAUUGAAUUGACAAAAUAGUCUAACUGGCAGUAUAAACUGAGGUCACUCUGGUAUCUGUGGCAUUUGUAGUCCUAAAGCCAUCGGUGACAUAAGAAAAUCCAGUCUAGAAAUAAUAUAGUUCAGUUGGUAAAGUGCUUCCUUAACAGGAACACAAAACUGAACAAGGUGACACGUGCCUGUAAUCUACAUGAAGGCAGCAGGAUCUCAAGUUCCAGGACAGUUUGGGUUACAUAGCGGCAGCCUAUCUGAAAACCAAACCAAAGAGUCUAACUGUUCCUUUUAGGGAUGAGUUCAGAAGACUGGUGUGCGUGGGAAUGUUUUAUUUUUAUAUGUAUAUACAUAACAUGUUUGUAAAACUGUCUGCCACUCGUGUGCAAGUGUUACAAGCCACACAGCGUGGGUACUGGGAACGGAAACUGGGUCCUGGUAUGGCGGCACGGUCUCUGAAGCAAGGAGCCAUCAUCUCUCCAGGCCCCACAGGUGUUCAUUGGCUCAACUAAUAAACAAUAGAAAGAAGCCUACACUGAGCCUGCUGAUUCAGGCCUGGAAUCCCAGCACUCAGGAGCUGGAGGCAGGAGAAUGAGAACUGCAAGCACAUCUUCACCAACAUACCAAAUUCCAAGGAACCCAUGAGACCCUGUCUCAAACAAAACAAAACCUUCUUCUUGCAGUAGAUUGCUAUUAGCUGGGACCCCUCCACUGGCCAAUGUGGAGAGAACAAAAGAAAGUGCUCAUCCCUAAUUCAGACAUAUCACACCCCAAGAAAGGACAGAUUGUGAAAGCCAGAGACGGGGAAAACCUCAAGGAAAGUGUUUCCCAGACAUGGCAGGGCACAUACACAUGAACUAAGUGACAUGGCAGCAUGUACCAGACCUACAAUCUCAGACUGACAAAAUACCAUUAUAGAGUGUGGAGGGUGGGCAUGGAAUCCAGCCACUAGCUGAGGGACUCUUGCCAUUUUAGAGCUGCUGGGGAGUCAGCUUUAAUGAGGUGGCCCCUGGUGGGUGGACCACACACCAGAGCAGGCACCCAAUCCCCAAACCCAGCUGAGCAACACAAACUGGACCUGAUGGAGAAAGAAAAAAAAAAAAGCAAACUCAAAGUUGGGUGAGAAGGGGGGGACAGGAGAAAAGAUUAAAUGUGUUCAAAGUACACUGUAUGAAAUUUUCAAAGAAGUAAUAAAAUUAUCAUCAUCACCAUCAUCAUCAUUAGAAAAAGAAGAGACAGAAGGGUUGGUUGCUCAGUGAGCACACCUUUAAUUCAAGCGCUCAAGAGGCAGAGGCAGGCAGAUCGCUGAGAGUUCGAGGCCAGCCUGGUCUUCAAGGUUAAGUUCCAACACAGCAAGAGCUACACAGAGAAACCCUGUCUUGAAAAAAAAAAAACAAACCAAACAAACCAAAACUAAGGUAAGAAAGAAACCUUGCAUGGUUCGUUGGUGGUUAUGCACUGAUUAUCUGGGCUUUGGCACAAGUGACACCCGGCCUACUGUGGUACUCACCUAAAUACCAAAUUUUUGGGCAGUUAUUGACGUCUCACUACCUUCCACUAGCUAUAAAAUGAUACUAAGGAAUACUAGAUUAAUUUCUCCAUUGUUGGUUUUUCUAGUCAGCUGAUGGUCUUGAGAGAAAAGGAUGAUUCCCAACUGCCGGAAAUUCUGUCAUCCAGGCCCACGAUGAAGUAUCUACCCGUCUUCUCUUUGCUCAUCAUUGCUGGGAAUUAACUCUGCUUGGGUUGUUAGUGCUGGGCCAAGAAGCUGAGUGCUGGAGAUUGGACACUAACUAGGCCUUACACACGUCAAUGCUGAAUCAUGGACACACCUACCCCCAGCCCUGAAUUGUUCAUUAUCGUGGUCGCAGCACCGAAAGCAGUGCUAAACCAUGCUGAAAUCAAACCAAACAAAACUAAAACCAUUUAGCCAAGCUUUUCUGUUUGUUUUCUUUUGUUUUGUUGGGACAAGUUUUCUCUGUAUAGCCUUGGCUUUCCUGGAACGCACUAUGUAGACCAGGCUAGCCUCAAACUCAAAGAUCUGCCUGCCUCUGCCUCCCGAGCUCCAGGAUCAAAGGCAUGCGCCACCAUCACCCAGCCCAAAGGCUUUUUCUAUGCUUCUCAGAGUGUUCAGCAAGGCGUUCAAUAAACCAGAGCUCAUGACCUCCUGCAGUUAAAGGCCAGCAAAAAGCAAACACUAAGUCGGGGGUUAGCAUGUGCUAGCAGGCAGGAUGUACUAAGAACACAGACGAAGGCUGUCCAUGUUAAACUCCGACUUCAGAACAUGCUGGCCAGACGGGCGAUUGGUACCCCAUGGGAGCUUGAAGGCUGCUCUGCCUGCCGGACAUGGGCAGAAGCAAAGAGGCACCACACACAAAAGAGCCAAGGAGUUCAGAGCGCCUGGUCAGGCCUGUUUUUGUUCGUUGUGGUGGAAGAGGUCAGAGCAUGUGGGGCCUUCCCUGUCCGGUUCAGUGAAGCUCGUCCUGAAACAUCCCAGGAGGCCACCGUAUUCAAUUUUUAUGCAAGAGAACGGCAUAAACUGAUUUUGAGGGUCUGCAGAUGUAGAACAGUUGCAGACCCUACUUAGGAGACAUAACACCCCGGAUUUAAUCCUCAGUAUUAAAGGCAAC